CUGCCCUGUCCAGACGCAGCUGCAGGAACCAACACUAUCAUCCUGGUAGAUGCGGACGGCCACGUGACCUUCACUGAGCGUAGCAUGAUGGACAAGGACCUCUCCCACUGGGAGACCAGAACCUAUGAGUUCACACUGCAGAGCUAACCCCACCUCUGGGCCUGGCCAGUGGGCUCCUGGGGGGCCCUGCCUUGAGGGGCACUGUGGACAGGAAACCUUCCUUUGCCAUACUGCAUUGCACUGCCCGUGGCUUGGCCAGCAUCCCCCGGAUCAGGGCCCUGUGGUUUGUGUGUUACCCAUCUGUGUCCCCAUGCCCAGUUCAGGGUCUGCCUUUAUGCCAGUGAGGAGCAGCAGAGUCUGAUACUAGGUCUAGGACCGGCCGAGGUAUACCAUGAACAUGUGGAUACACCUGAG
rnacentral:sRNA from 1 species